rnacentral:rRNA from 1 species
UUCCUUGUCGGGUAAGUUCCGACCUGCACGAAUGGCGUAACGACUUCCCCGCUGUCUCCAACACCGGCUCGGCGAAAUUGAAUUCCCCGUGAAGAUGCGGGGUACCCGCAGUUAGACGGAAAGACCCCGUGCACCUUUACUACAACUUUGCAGUGGCAUUAGAGAAUGGAUGUGUAGGAUAGGCGGGAGCCUUUGAAACAUUGGCGCUAGCUAGUGUGGAGGCAACCUUGAAAUACCGCCCUUUUGUUCUUUGAUGUCUAACCGCGGUCUGUCAUCCAGAUCCGGGACCCUGCAUGGUGGGUAGUUUGACUGGGGCGGUCGCCUCCCAAAGAGUAACGGAGGCGCGCGAUGGUGGGCUCAGGCUGGUCGGAAAUCAGCCGCUGAGUGCAAUGGCACAAGCCCGCCUGACUGCGAGACUGACAAGUCGAGCAGGGACGAAAGUCGGCCAUAGUGAUCCGGUGGUUCCGCGUGAGUGGGCCAUCGCUCAACGGAUAAAAGGUACGCCGGGGAUAACAGGCUGAUACCACCCAAGCGUCCACAGCGACGGUGGUGUUUGGCACCUCGAUGUCGACUCAUCACAUCCUGGGGCUGGAGCAGGUCCCAAGGGUUCGGCUGUUCGCCGAUUAAAGUGGUACGUGAGUUGGGUUCAAAACGUCGUGAGACAGUUUGGUCCCUAUCUGCUGUGGGUGUUCGAGACUUGAGAGGAGCCGUCCUUAGUACGAGAGGACCGGGAUGGACUUACCUCUGGUGUACCGGUUGUGACGCCAGUCGCAGCGCCGGGUAGCUAUGUAGUGAAGGGAUAAACGCUGAAAGCAUCUAAGCGUGAAACCCGCCUCAAAACUAGGUCUCGCUGAGAGUCGUGGUAGACCACCACGUUGAUAGGCCGCAUGUGCAAGUGCAGUGAUGCAUUCAGCUUAGCGGUACUAAUAACUCGAUCGGCUUGAUC